UAUUUUCGUUUGUUUUGCUGGGUCGCCUUCAUGUGAUUGGUCACUUUUGUAGUCAGAGGAAAAAAUAUAAACAUGAACGAAGUAAUUGUGGAAACUUUGACGAAUUAAACAGCUUAGCUUUUGAUUGGCGAAGAUUCGAUUCUAAGACCAAGAAAAUGUGUGAUUCUGUUGUGCUGGAUUUAGAAUAUUGAUUUACAAAAACGAGGUAAAACAUCUCAUGCAUACACUUUAAAGUGGAUUCAAGUCAAAUAAGUGAACAUUAUUUUAGUCUGUGACAGUUUUUUUUUAAUUCUUAAGAGAUGGAAACAGAAAGGAUGGACCUACUGGAAGAUUGGGUUGCUGUAAAGUGCCUUUGUAAAUGAAAGCACACCUCCACAACUAGUUUUUAAUUAUAUCUUGGAAUGAUGUGGAACACAAGAUUGCUAUCCGACAUUGUGGCUCAGAGGACUGUAACUGUCAAUCAACAGCUUUCAAUCCUCAAGAACUGUAAUCCAAAUUACUGCAAUCACCUAUGGAAUAUGAAGAUCUCCUAUCCAAGAUGGAAGCAGAGGUUUGGAAAGAAUGCAUUUGAGAUGGUACGUGAAGAAAGAGUGUUGAGGUAAACUUGUAAGAUUGUUUAUUGUACUAAGUUUCCUUUCUUAAGAUCUGUUAAGUUUUCUUGUAAAGGGUAAAAAAGAUUUUGUUAUGCUCAGCAUACACAUGUAUAAAGAUGGCUGAUUGAUGGAGGAUGUGGAGAAUGUGUUUUUCCUCUGUCUUAUCACUUAGAAAAUUGAACAGGUCGAAAAAGGAUGGAAGACGACAAAAAUUGCAUGGUGAGUAGUUAGGAUCGAGAAAUAUCUACUAGCACACCAGAUGUAGUAGACACUUCCUCGGCUUUUAAACAAGCUGUG